rnacentral:rRNA from 1 species
AGUUUUAUUCUGGGUUCCGGACGGAACGGCGGGCGGCCAUCCUUAAUACAUGCAAGUUGAACGCUGAAGCAUUCUGUUGCCAGAGUGCGGAUGAGUGGCGAAACGGGUGAAUAACACGUGGGAAAUCUGCCUAGGAGUGGGGGAUAACAUUGGGAAACGGAUGCUAAUACCGCAUAUCUUUUUGAACCGCAUGGUUCUUAAACGAAAGACGGCUUCGGCUGUCGCUCUUAGAUGAUCCCGCGGCGUAUUAGUUAGUUGGUGGGGUAAAGGCCUACCAGGACCAUGAUACGUAGCCGACCUGAGAGGGUGAUCGGCCACACUGGGACUGAGACACGGCCCAGACUCCUACGGGAGGCAGCAGUAGGGAAUCUUCCACAAUGGGUGAAAACCUGAUGGAGCAAUGCCGCGUGAAUGAAGAAGGUCUUCGGAUCGUAAAGUUCUGUUAUUAGAGAAGAACAAGUCAAGGAGUAACUGUCUUGACUUUGACGGUACCUAACCAGAAGGUCACGGCUAACUACGUGCCAGCAGCCGCGGUAAUACGUAGGUGACAAGCGUUGUCCGGAAUUAUUGGGCGUAAAGGGAGCGCAGGCGGUUGGAAUAGUCUGAUGUGAAAGCCCACGGCUUAACCGUGGAAGGUCAUUGGAAACUGUCCAACUUGAAUACAGAAGAGGUAAGUGGAAUUCCAAGUGUAGCGGUGAAAUGCGUAGAUAUUUGGAGGAACACCAGUGGCGAAGGCGACUUACUGGUCUGUAAUUGACGCUGAGGCUCGAAAGCGUGGGUAGCAAACAGGAUUAGAUACCCUGGUAGUCCACGCCGUAAACGAUGAGUGCUAGGUGUCGGGGG